rnacentral:rRNA from 1 species
AUACGGAGGGUGCAAGCGUUGUCCGGAUUUAUUGGGUUUAAAGGGUGCGUAGGUGGCGUGUUAAGUCAGUGGUGAAAGCCUGCAGCUCAACUGUAGAGGUGCCAUUGAUACUGACAUGCUCGAGUAUGGACGAGGUAGGCGGAAUUUGUGGUGUAGCGGUGAAAUGCAUAGAUACCACAAAGAACACCGAUAGCGAAGGCAGCUUACUGGACCAUAACUGACACUGAGGCACGAAAGUGUGGGUAGCGAACAGGAUUAGAUACCCUAGUAGUCC